UUUGCGCUCUCUGCCCGGGUCGGGUGCGGAUCCCCACGCUGCCAGGACGGCUUCCUGAGUCUGCUUUUGUCCGACUGUGCCUCCCGGUUGUUUUCCAGUCAGCCUGGAGCUGCACACUUGCCAUGAGACCCAUACUAUCCAGGCCCUGAGAAACCAAGGAAGAUAUCGAUAAAGGUAUGCUGACUCCAUCCUGAAUCAAAUCAAAAUCCAGCAAGACCCUAAGAUAACAUCAAAGAUGGGAACAGAAACCUGACAGAGCCUUGGCAAGCCUUUGCACCUGGCUCCUUGCAUGGAGCCUCCACAGCUCACACCCCCCUUCCUACUGUUUUUCACUUCCCAUGUUCCAUUUCCUCAGUCCCUUCUAUAAAACCCCCUCAGUAAAUCUAAGUCUUUGAGAUGGUUUUAGUCUGGCCAUUCUCCUGGUUUACGGGAGAGAUGGGUAGCCUAACAACUACUCUCCUCAGGUCACUGGUAUUCCUGAAUUAAAGCUGACUUCCUAUUCCACCAACA